GGACAGGUGGACACAAAAUAGGACACCGAGGCCCCGCUAUGCACGAUGAUGACCCUAAGGUUGAUGCCCCGCAGCCUCCUCCCCCACCCAAACAUUACACGAGGGCUAAAAAACACAAAAUUGGUGAACCUUGAGGUGGAAGUUACAUUUUUGAGUUUGAAAAUUUCUUAGAUCUUCAAGUUUGUCGAGAGUUUGUGGGUAAGUCUCAACUAUUAUGCACAUUACUUAUUUCAAGCUUGUUGACCUAUAAUUAUGUGUUGUCAA